AAUCGAGGCCGAGUGACAUGCACACAGUGGUGCACUGCGGUCAUGAGGAAAGGCAACCCAAAUUUUGUCUUAAUUCGCUCUAUCUCAUAAUCCCUCGCCUUCAGUAGGUUGUAUAGCUUCUUGUACUCUACAAUAUGAUAGCACAUGACAUGAGAAUUAAUGAUAGCACAUAGUGACAUGAGAAUUAGUGGUACUGCAUGUCUCCUUCAGGAAGCUUGUUUUCUAGCAUGUCAUCAAAACACCUAAACAACAAUUAUCAUUAAUAAUUGUUAUUUCCUUGUAAUCAAACAACAAAGGAGCUGCUCGAUCAAGUAUUUUCCAAGCCAAUUCAACCAACAAUGUUGAAUGGUUUUGCACUACUGAAAUUGGUCAUGACCAUCUUCAAUCUGAAGGAGCACGUCUCAAAAUUAAUUAAGGAAAACUUGCACAAGCAUUAGUAGUCUAGUACUAUGAUCUAGGGGCUAUUGAUCUUAAAAACAAGUGUAACCAAAUUCAAGCAUAAAAAGCUGAACCAAACAUCUCCACUCCAUUGCCAAGUACAAACAAGCUGUCUAUGUACGAAUCUCAUCUCCCCCUCCUGAAAAAAAUGUUGAAAUCGUGGUACUGGUAGCACAAAAAAUGCAUGUUCGAUCGCACUAAGCCUAUGAGUGACUCUACUGAUUGCUAGCAAUCACUGACGAUAUUACCCUAACAAAAUCUCUCCCCAGCAAUCCGUUUAACUUGCAUAGAGAAGAACCGCCUUUCAAAUGACGUGCUCAAACUAAUACAUAAUUCAGUUUGCAUGCAUUUACUAAAAUCGAAUUGUCUAAUGCAUGCACAUUCUCACUGGCGCUGCUUAUAGAGAAGCUAAAUACAUAAUUUAUUAUCCAGACUAAUUUUUUGCGAUCAGUGAGGUUAAUAGUCCCCAAAUCUGGCUGAAGCCAGCAUCAUGGAUAUUUCUAGAUUGUGUAAACAUUUACUGCCGGGAAAAAAAUGUAAACACCUCUGCUCCUCCUUGACAUCUGUCGCCGUCUCCACUACCAUGUCAUUGGGUCGUGGUCAGUGUGGCGGAGGACGAACUCGAUCUAAGCCAUUAAAAAUGUAUGAUACAAAAACAAAGCACUCCAUCCGUUUGCCUAAAAUGGAUCUGUAUGAAAAUUCUUGUAGUUCUUAAGUAUUUCACAAAUCUCGGCAGCAAGUAACCAUCAAUGUUGAGACUCCUUCAAUAUCCGCACCACCUCUGUUCAUAAGUAAUUGAAAUAUAAAAUUAAAUUCAAUAUAAUAAAAACUGAGUGACCUGAAAGUGGAUUUUAAAACAUUCGAAUGGAAAUGUCACGAGGAUUGCUUUCCCAAUCUUCAGAAAUUGAAACAUGUAUCAUCAUCAAAAUUCAGUUACAGAGUUCAAUUUCAUAUUUCAGGUUCUCCCAGAAAACAUGAUAACGCAGAGGCUUCAAUCUAAAUCCAUAAGUGACUAAUUUCAAGUGUGGGGUACUAAGCAUUCCAACUGUGAAACUAAAUUCAAUCCAGACCGAAAUACAGAAGAACUAAAUAAGGUUCAUCUUGGCAUAGAUAAACCACAACUUUUAGAAGUGCAAGGCAUUGGAAAUUCAUCUCCAGAACAUCGAAAACGCAAAGUAAGUUGCGAAAUAUUUCCAAACAUCUAGAGCAAAAUUGUCUGAGUUUCUGACGCAUUAUCCACUGAAUUACCUCAACAACUGCAUCCAGUAGCAGCCACCCAAAAAUAUCUCCCGAAUACAUCCUCGCAGAAAAACCCCUAGUGCUUAGCUCAAAUCAGCAUGAAACUACAUGAGGAUCCAAUUCCAACCAAAGCAAUCUAACGGGGAAGGGAGACGGUGGAGAUGCAGAGGCCCAGGCCACGAUGCGCAC
rnacentral:lncRNA from 1 species